UUUAUCUGGAUUCUGUGUCCCUGUGUCUUCUCCUUUCUUAUUUCUUACAAGGCUACUCUGCGUUGGAGUCAGGGCCCAAGCUAAGUACAGGAUAAUCUCAUCUCGAGAUCCUUAAUUUAAUUACAUUUACAAAGAUGAUCUCCAAAUAAAGUUAUAUUCAAAUGUACUCAAUUAGGACUACGGAUAUCUUUGGGUGGACACAGUUCAACCUACUACACCUUAAAGGCAUUGUGACCCAGAAGGUGAUUAACUAAGCCCAUAGGAGCAAUAGGCUCUGCACACCAUGUUCCAACCUUAAACAAAAGGAGACUUCUCAUUCUACCCUCUCAGCAUCCCGAACAUGUACACUGCCAGCUAGGAUUUCCAGGAUUCAACAAUUCAGACUUGGCUAUGCUGAAAUGAAAUGAGGUUCUUGGAGAAAGAGAUGGCGACCUGAGCCCCAAUAGCUUCACCACACUGACCUUAGGUAAGUUGUCAAGUGCCCUUAAGUUUUAGACUCCUGGUCUAUAAAAUGGGACAAUAGUAGCAUCUAUAACCAAUUUUUGAUUAUAUAUAAAAGUGCUUUGUAAAUUACACAAUAGUUAUUUUUACUGUGAUCUAGUUCAAAGCCCAAGUAACUCUAUUUCCUUUUUUAUUCUGUAUAGUUUUUCUUUCUUCUGUUUUUCAAGGAGCAGCAUUAUUCUUACAGCAUUUUUUGAAGAUAUUUUUCAUGUGUUCAACAAAUCUUCUUUUGGAGUACUAGUUUCUGAAAGAAAAUUGAUGAAAAUGAUCCAUUUUUCUCAAGGAACUUACAGUCUGAAGGCGAGGGGAGAUAGAAACCCAACCAGAAUGCAGAGAGAAAUGUAAAAACGUUAAAACUAGAGAACAGAAGCAAAAUCCUUUAGGAACAGAAACUGGAUAGUAAUGAUCUGAACAGGGUCAUGAAGAAGAUUAAAUGGGAAAAAAAGAGGAUGAAAUUUGAAAGGAGUCAUUUCAUGGGAUAAGAACAUCAGGAAUGGCCAGGCAUGGUGGCUCAUGCCUGUAAUCCCAGCACUUUGGGAGGCUGAGGUGAGUGGAUCACUUGAGGUAAGGAGUUCAAGACCAGCCUGGCCAACGUGGUGAAACCCUGUCUCUACUAAAAAUAUAAAAAGUAGCCAGGCAUGGUGGUUGGUGCCUGUAAUCCCAGCCACCCGAAAAGCUGAGGCAGCAGAAUUGCUUGAGCCCAGGAGAUAGAAGGUACAGUGAGUGGAGAUCGUGCCACUGCCCUCCAGCUUGGGAGACAGAGUGAGACUCUAUGUCUCAAAAAAAUAAAUAAAUAAAAUAAAAAAUCA
rnacentral:lncRNA from 13 species